GAUAGCGUGGCCGAGCGGUCUAAAGCGCUGGACUUAAGUUCCAGUCUCUUCGGGGACGUGGGUUCGAAUCCCACCGCUAUCA
rnacentral:tRNA from 1 species